AUGCGUUUGUGUGAAGCAGUGUCCAGACAGCCUCCCCAAGAAGUAGAGAGUAGAGACAUGUCAGGAGGAAGUGGCUCAGCGCAUAUGGACGACUCGCAGGACCUGCCUGACUUGCCGACCAAGAAGGCCAGACAUGAGCUGGACGUUGGACUGAACCAAGAGCCAAGGGGACUACGUGAUGACCAGAUCCCUCCUACUCUCUUCGGCUCAGGAGAUCAGGACAAUUCAUACUCUACGUUGUCUAAUGCCCAGCUUGAUGGAGGUGAGUGGCUUCUAAGAGAAGAUGUCUAUCUAUUGGGGUGUGAAGAUCAGAUGGAAUCGUACAACAUCAGUGGUGGUUCAUUGGUACAGAUGGUUGACUGUUGGUUCAGUCUGGUUCAGACAGAGGAGUGAGGCCUUGGGCUUGGGACGAGUUCAUAACUCACUCACACACACACGGUAAGAGCUACACACCACACCACACACACACACCACACACACACACACACACACACACACACACACACACCACAGGUACGACAACCACACCCACACACACACACACACACACCACCCACAAGUACGAGCAACACACCCUACACACACACACACACACACACACACCGGUACGAGCAACACCCCCUACACCACACAACACACAACACACCGGUACGAGACUACACAACACACACACACACACACACACCACAACACACACACACACACACACACACACCGGUACGAGCAACACACCUACCACACACACCACCGGGACGAGCAACACACCCUACACAACAACACCACACCGGUACGAGCAACACACACACACACACACACACACACACACACGUUACGAGCACACACACACUACACACACCAGUACGAGCACACACACACUACACACACACACGGUACAAGCACACACCCUACACACGUACGAACACCACACCCUACACACACACACACACAUCGAUACGAGCAACACACUCCUUGGGUCUACACUCCCUUUUCAUUUGUCAUAAUGAGAGCAUGUUUUGUAAAAAAAAAACAUUCAAUUAAGCAUAGCUACCGUUGUUCUUUUUUUUCCCAGCGGUGGCCAGCAGAGCGCUCACCACAACAACAGCCUCUGAAUAUAACUCCCACAUCUACCAAGGAAGCAGGUGAAUAUCCUCUGCUGUGAUUGGUUAUUCAGUGUUUCCUGGUCCUGCGGAGCCAAAUGGGUGCACAAGUUUUGUAAUAUCACUAACAAGCCUGAAAAUCUAAGGUGUGAUGACGAGUUGUUUUGUUGAAUCAAGUGUGAUAGUGCUAAGACAAAAACCAAAAUGUGCCCCCCUUUAGGUCCCCGGGACCAGGAUUGGGAAACACCUUGUAUGUUGGGACUUGCAUGCCUGUUCAAAUAAAACUUUAUUGUUCCCGCAGGGAAAUGCAUGGUGCAGCCAGAUGUAAUCGGUGUUAUGAUGAUUCUAGU
rnacentral:lncRNA from 1 species